GGACCGUUUCAAUAAGCUCUCGUAAGUAUCUUACGACUCGUAAACCAGUUGCGAUUAUCGCAACUUGCCAUUUUGCGUUUCAAUAAACUUUCGCAACUUACGAUAUCGUAGAAUUCUCUCGUAAGUCUACGAGACGUAAGUAGCAGUCGUAGUUACGUCGAAACCAAAAUGGACGCCGCGUAUGUUGUGCAUAUAGACGCCGAAUAAGAAGCUUUUGGCUCCGUCUUUUUUAUCGACGACAAUACAGAGGAAGUAAACAUGUUGUUUUUUAUCCCUUGAUUACUUUCUGCAAAAUAUUUAACGUUGGAAUCAAUAUGUCAGUUACUGCCCUUUGUUUAUAUUCGAUAAGGAUAAAUAAAUCAAAAUAAAUUUCAAUUUAUCAUACGUGAAAACCCUAUGUGUUUAUUAUGUGUGUGAUUCAAUUAUAUUGUUCAACAGCAGUUGAAGUAUAUGCGCUUUCCGCCGCUCGAAUUUUUGUGCAAUGAUUAAUUUUGCUGUACUCAUCACUGACAUCAGUUAAAGAUUUUUGGCCAAAGAAAACAUCUAUUCCAAGCAGGCAGAUCUUCAUGGAAUCAGCAGAUCAUCUUUCCUUAUUUGACAUGCCUUCACGAGUUCAAUCAGCAAACAUAUGAUCGGUUUCCAGUCCGUGUACAACAACAAACUUGCAUGAAGGUUGGAUUCUGCCACAAGGCCUGGGAGCAGUGGAUGGGACUCUCAUACCCAUAAUACUGAAUACGUUAAAUUACACACAUGCAGUUGAACACAGCAGGAACUCUUGAAGAAAAAAAUGUGUAUUUUUUUUAUUUGAACUUAAAUGUAAAAUAUAUAUUAAUUUUAGCUCGACUAUACCUUGAAUGAUAAGCUGUGUAUAAAAUUAUGGUAAA